rnacentral:lncRNA from 1 species
AGCAGGCUUUGGGCUAGGUGAAAAUCCACUUUGCCAACUUCAAUGUUUUACUAAGUGUUGGCUCUGCUAAAAAAGCCUCAUGCAACUGAACAUUCUAUUAUAGAAAAUGACGAAUCUGUGUUUGAUGCCAGAGUUGUCACAUUCUUCCAAGAGUGCAGACUUUUAUGGGCCCCUGGAGCUUCUGCCGGGGACUAUUUCUGAGGACGGGAACAUUGUGCCUUGUUGGCAAGGCUUGUUAAACCAAGGCCAUUUGUGGUCGUUGAAGAAUCUGGAUCUGCCUUUGCAACGGUGGCAGCGAGAUUGUGGUGAGGCUCUGGAUACGCUUUAUCCCACCUCAGUUUCUCUGGUGAGGCCCUUUGCCAUGUAAACUGGUUGUGGUCAAAUGGAAAUAUUUGAAGGGUUGCCACGUGGAAGAGGGAUUUAGGCCUAUUCUGCAUGGUCCCAGAGGAUAGAACUCAGAUGAAGAAGAUGGUAACUGCUGCGGAGAGAUGGAUUUGGACGCUACAUAAAGAUCAACUAUAAGAAUCCCGCACCCCCACCCGAGGAACAUGAAGCCCGCAGAGAUUCCUCCUUCUAUUCUACAGCUGAGAAAUGUCUUUGCGUUUCACGGAUGAGGAAGCAGCAGGAUCUAGGAGAAAGCAAUGAACUGGGAAUCAGGAAACCUGUGCCACCACUGACGUGCUGUGUGCUCUCCGAGCACUUAACUUUUCUGAGUCUCAGUUUCCUCACAAGGAUGACCAUGGGAGCCCAGGCUUGAUUGGAGGAUCCGAUGAGAUCAUGGAUGUGAAGCACUUUGUAACAUUAGACAAAUAGGAGGUGCUAAUAUGAUGAUGCCUGCUUUAAGUGCUUUUUCUGAAGCGAAUCAAGGUCAUUAUUCUCUGUUUCGAGAUGCUGAAAUCAAGGCAGAGAGAUGUGAAGGGACAUGGAUCCCGCUUCAUAGUGCCUGGACCAAGAGGUCUCCCUACAUUGGGAGGACUUCAGUGGCUGCCCAUGGCCUGGUACUUCCUCUCCUUCUGAGAAUGGCACCAUUACAUAACUGUCUGGGGCGGUGCCCCAGACCACAGAGAUUUUCCUUCUGCCCAGCUGCAUGAGGUACACCUAUUUUGGGAUGGAAUCAGGAAGAUGGCCACUUUCACACCAACUGGGGUGCCCUAGCACCUACCUCUCUUCUUCCCACACUCCCACUGCCCACCCUCCACUCCCCACCCCCUGCUGUUGGUAUGGGCUCUGCUCUAGGGCAAAGGGCUCAUCCUCUUAUGCUCCCUCAGAUCAGGGAAGUAUCUCUGGCCUCUCUCUGGUUCUCUGUCCCUAAAGAAUCUCCCAGCUGUCAUCUACCCUUUAUAACUGUCUCCAGAGCAUUCUCUCUUCUGCUUCUCCAACACUGUGGCCUCUUCUGUGAAGUUCUCUAACCAUGGGUUUCCCCAACACCUCCCUGCCCCUUGCAAGCUCCCCCUCAUCAUCAUCUUCAUCUCAGAGAAAGAAAUGAAAAAGAAAUUCAAGUGACUCAUCGGUGCACGUAGCAGGAGGGGAGAAGCAGAGAGAGUGAGUUUGUGGGUCCAGAUGAGUAUGUCUGCAGGCCUCUUCACUGCUUCACACGAUCUGCUGAGCUUCAUGAAAGAGAAGAUAUAAAAAUCUGAGCGGUGCCAUAUUGUCUCCAAAAGCAGCCGGCGUGAAAAUGAAGUGCGACUGCCACCUCCUCAUAACGCAAGGCAGCUCCUGCCUCACAUGCUCAAAUGUGGCUCAGAGGCUGGCUGGGCAGCCUCAGGAAAGAUGCCUAUCGAUCAGCCACUGAACCUCAGCCACCCACCUGGCCUGGGGCUCCCCCAGGCCUCAAGGCUGCCCUCUCCAAGGGCUGGGGCUCCACUCUUUGUCAGGCCCCCUGGAUCACAGCAGUGUCUGCUGGGGGCACUAAGCAGGGAGCCAGCAAGGGGUGCCUUCUCUGGAGGCACAGUCCACCAGCAGCCCUGGGCUUGGCAAGUCCUGAAUUCUAUGCUCUUUGGCUGGCUGGAGGGCUGCUAGACCAGGAUUCAUACUGAGCUGAGUGCGCACGAUGAGGGGGAGUCAGAGUAGGUGGGCCUGGCACCUCCAUCAACCAGAGAGGCUCUGCUUUAAUCCACUUUACAUACUGGGCAUCUGCCUGAGAUUUCAUUGGGAGAAACAAAACAAAAACCAGAGUCCAGUGCAAUUACAAACAAAAAGAGCAAACAAUCUUGGAAGCCCCCAUCCAUCUAACCCCGUGUUUCUCGAACUUGAGCAUGGCUCAGAUCUCCUGGAGGGCUAGAUAAAACACAGAUGGCUGGGCCCCUCCCCAGAGUUGCUGAGUCAGUAUGUCCGGGUGGGGCUGAUAUUCUGUAUUUCUAACAAGCUCCCAGGGGUCCCCAGUGUUGUUGUUCUGGGGAUACACUGUAAGAACCACUGAUCCAGCCCAAAUUUUCCCUUCAAAGCCAGGAGAGGAGACUCCUUCAAGGUACCUUGGCAAGUUAGAGACAAGAUAGAAUAGAGGCCCACUCUCUGAUGGCCCCUCCUCCUACCACCCACCCAACCCCACCUGGUCCAGGGCUUGUCCAUCACACCCUGCACCUGCUCCAGCACAACAGGACCCUGGACAGAGAAGGCCACUCAGACCUGGGCUCUGGGGUGACUUUAUCCCUGGGUCAGUGAUUAAAGGGGAGCAAUUCUAACCCAGAGCCCGUGCUCAGCCAGCCUGUGUGCCCCGUAUGGGGAAGUUGCAUCAGACCCUCAGGCCAUCAGGAUGCUUGCUUCUCCAGACUUCACUUCUGCAUGGCUUUAUUUAUCAUCGAGCCUUCUACGAUCUCCUUUCUUUAUUCUUUCACCCAACACAUCCUUAUUGAGAUCUUCUAGGUGCUGGGUGCUGUCCCAGAUCCUGAGAUAAAGAGAACUCUGAGACUCAGGUCCUUCCCUGCCCUCCAGGACUUCACAAUCAGGGAGGAAAAUGAACCUGAUCAAGUCACUGCCUUGUGAAAGGAAAAGAGGAAUGGGGAG